ACAGACAUGCAUGACAUGACAUGACAGACAUCUGCAUUUCAUCAGAUCUGGCAGGGAUGGUCUGUGCUUGGGCAGUGGUCCACGGGUGAAUGCUUCAACCUAUGCAGAGCCUCAGAGUCACUGACCUGCAGCCCUGCAGUCCUGCAGCCCCACCCUCCCUGGAGGAUGACAUUUGUGUUGAUAAGAGAGCUUCUGAAGAGUCUCUACAGGAAAAGAUGGACCAGAAUUCCAUCUCUAAGGGAUUCGAGGCAGUCUGUGCAUAUCUGCUGUAUAUGCAACCACAUAUCUAUGUCUUAGAGUUUAUGUAUAUAACAGAAUCACAGAAUCACAGAGUCAUCAAGUCAGUUAGGUUGGAAAAGACCUCUGAGAUUUUGAGUCCAGCCUGUGACUCAACAUCACCAUGUCGAGUAGACCUGAGUGCCUCAUCCAGUCAUUCCUUAAACGCCUCCAGGAUGGUGACUCCACCACCUCCUUGGGCCUGUUCCAGUGUCUAAUCUCCCUUUCUGUGAAGAAAGUCUUCUUCAUAUCCAACCUAAAUGAGAUCAACACGCAGAAAAAGUGCAUCCAAUAAAGAACCUUAAAUAAC